GUCCACGCCCUAAACGAUGCUUACUCGACGUAUGAAGCUAGACUUUGUGCGUCCAAGGGAAACCGUUAAGUAAGCCACCUGGGGAGUACGACCGCAAGGUUGAAACUCAAAGGAAUUGACGGGGUCCGCACAAGCGGUGGAGCAUGUGGUUUAAUUCGAUGAUACGCGAGGAACCUUACCUGGGCUAGAAUGCGAGUGACGGAUCGGGAAACCGGUCUUUUCUUCGGAACACAAAGCAAGGUGCUGCAUGGCUGUCGU
rnacentral:rRNA from 1 species